CAAUCCAUUUUUCACUGAUUCUGUGGUUUCCUGAGUGGCUUCCCUGGGGAGUGGAAUAGGGGCAGGCGUCCACAACUAUACCGUGGUUCUUAAACACAAAAAGAAGACUUCUAUGAAAUCAGCAGACAGGAGCUGCUCUGCCAACUCAGGACAUGUGAGCAUCACUGGAGUUGAUGCUAGAAUAACAGGUCUACCUGUGAAAGAUGGGGAACACGUCGCAGAAGCAGUGUGUCCGAGGAAGGAAAGGAAUUCACAAGGUUGCCUCGGGAGAAAAGGGUCCGUGUGUCGCCCAGCCUCUUGUCUUCUCCGUUCGUCGCCAGCCCUGCCCUGUGCACUUGAUUACAAUCUGUAGCUUCCCUGGCCUGGCCUUCAGUGUUCUCCGAGAACCCGGUUCCUACUUUUCCUCUGGCUCAUCCUAGUCCUGGACACUUUGGAUAACCUCCCUGACCGGCCAUCUUUGCCCCUUGGGACUACAAGCCCAGUCCUCAACAGAGACAACCAGACGGAUGCUAACCAGGACAUCUGGGGAUGGGCUGUAGGGCUCCGUCCUGCUGUCCAAGUGCUCUCACUGGUGUCUUAAAGAUGAAGAAGCCCUGGUUUUCAAGCGUGUGUGCCCAAAUCUGGGAGUAAGUGUGGAGCCAACGUGGCAGGAGGCAUUGAGCAUCCUGACAGGCUGGAACAAAGGACCAAAUCUAAGGAGAUGAAAUAUCUGGACCUCGGGGUAUAAAACCAUGCCCAAUGCCGGGAAAGGAGAAGCAUGGCACAGCAGAAUAUCAUAUGAGAAAAGACUUGGGGUUUUAGAAAGGAAAAAGCUCUCGUUGCGUUAAUAAUCUGUGUUUUUCAAGGAAGCGCAUGGACUCCAGACUGCAUUAAUAAAGAUCUGGUGUCCAGACAAAAGGAGGUGAGAGUCCUGUUGUAUUCCUGUCAGACCACACGUGAACUAUAGUGUCUGGUUCUGGAAGUUACACUGUGGGAGACAGAGACAAACUUGAACAAUGGUUCUUAACCCUGGCUGGACAUUAUAAUCACCUGGGAACUUUCAAGCCCCU